UGGCUUGACGUUGAUCACACCACUUGUUUCAGUCUGCCCCUUGCUGCUGUGGUCUGCGCGCCUGCCUCCUCCCCAUCUGACCCGCAACGAAAUAUGGGCAUUUCCUUCCACCCUAAGCCACCUACAAGGACUUAGAAGAGAUUUUCUUUGAUAUGUCAGUGACUUGGCUUCUGGCUUCCUGCCUAGCUAUCCCACCUUGGACCAGAAGCCUCCACUGUGAAGCAUCUUGCUUUAAGUGGUUCACCUUGAAGGUUUUUUAAAACAGUAGGGAAUGAGCUGG